AUGAACGCUGGCGGCGUGCUUCACACAUGCAAGUCGAACGAAGCACUUUAACCUGAUUCUUCGGAUGAAGGUUUUUGUGACUGAGUGGCGGACGGGUGAGUAACGCGUGGGUAACCUGCCUCAUACAGGGGGAUAACAGUUAGAAAUGACUGCUAAUACCGCAUAAGACCACAGAGCCGCAUGGCUCGGUGGGAAAAACUCCGGUGGUAUGAGAUGGACCCGCGUCUGAUUAGGUAGUUGGUGGGGUAACGGCCUACCAAGCCAACGAUCAGUAGCCGACCUGAGAGGGUGACCGGCCACAUUGGGACUGAGACACGGCCCAAACUCCUACGGGAGGCAGCAGUGGGGAAUAUUGCACAAUGGGGGAAACCCUGAUGCAGCGACGCCGCGUGAGCGAAGAAGUAUUUCGGUAUGUAAAGCUCUAUCAGCAGGGAAGAAAAUGACGGUACCUGACGAAGAAGCACCGGCUAAAUACGUG
rnacentral:rRNA from 1 species